rnacentral:rRNA from 1 species
UACGGGGGGGGCAAGCGUUGUUCGGAAUUACUGGGCGUAAAGGGCUCGUAGGCGGCCAACUAAGUCGGAUGUGAAAUCCCCAGGCUUAACCUGGGAACUGCAUCCGAUACUGGAUGGCUUGAAUCCGGGAGAGGGAUGCGGAAUUCCAGGUGUAGCGGUGAAAUGCGUAGAUAUCUGGAGGAACACCGGUGGCGAAGGCGGCAUCCUGGACCGGCAUUGACGCUGAGGCGCGAAAGCUAGGGGAGCAAACGGG